rnacentral:rRNA from 1 species
AGUGGAAGCGUCUGGAAAGGCGCGCGAUACAGGGUGACAGCCCCGUACACAAAAGCGCAUGUGUUGUGAGCUCGAUGAGUAGGGCGGGACACGUGGUAUCCUGUCUGAAUAUGGGGGGACCAUCCUCCAAGGCUAAAUACUCCUGACUGACCGAUAGUGAACCAGUACCGUGAGGGAAAGGCGAAAAGAACCCCGGCGAGGGGAGUGAAAAAGAACCUGAAACCGUGUACGUACAAGCAGUGGGAGCACCCUUUGGGGUGUGACUGCGUACCUUUUGUAUAAUGGGUCAGCGACUUAUAUUCUGUAGCAAGGUUAACCGAAUAGGGGAGCCGGAGGGAAACCGAGUCUUAAUUGGGCGUUAAGUUGCAGGGUAUAGACCCGAAACCCGGUGAUCUAGCCAUGGGCAGGUUGAAGGUUGGGUAACACUAACUGGAGGACCGAACCGACUAAUGUUGAAAAAUUAGCGGAUGACCUGUGGCUGGGGGUGAAAGGCCAAUCAAACCGGGAGAUAGCUGGUUCUCCCCGAAAGCUAUUUAGGUAGCGCCUCGUGAAUUCAUCUCCGGGGGUAGAGCACUGUUUCGGCUAGGGGGCCAUCCCGGCUUACCAACCCGAUGCAAACUGCGAAUACCGGAGAAUGUUAUCACGGGAGACACACGGCGGGUGCUAACGUCCGUCGUGAAGAGGGAAACAACCCAGACCGCCAGCUAAGGUCCCAAAGUCAUGGUUAAGUGGGAAACGAUGUGGGAAGGCCCAGACAGCCAGGAUGUUGGCUUAGAAGCAGCCAUCAUUUAAAGAAAGCGUAAUAGCUCACUGGUCGAGUCGGCCUGCGCGGAAGAUGUAACGGGGCUAAACCAUGCACCGAAGCUGCGGCAGCGAACGUAUCACUUAAAGCGAUUCAGCGGGUUACGAUUGACGGAGCGAAGCGACGUCAAAGCGUAUACAAAGUCGAGUCGGUUUAAGGAUACGUUCGUUGGGUAGGGGAGCGUUCUGUAAGCCUGUGAAGGUGUGUCGUGAGGCAUGCUGGAGGUAUCAGAAGUGCGAAUGCUGACAUAAGUAACGAUAAAGCGGGUGAAAAGCCCGCUCGCCGGAAGACCAAGGGUUCCUGUCCAACGUUAAUCGGGGCAGGGUGAGUCGACCCCUAAGGCGAGGCCGAAAGGCGUAGUCGAUGGGAAACGGGUUAAUAUUCCCGUACUUGGUGUUACUGCGAAGGGGGGACGGAGAAGGCUAUGUUGGCCGGGCGACGGUUGUCCCGGUUUAAGCGUGUAGGUGUGUGUUCCAGGUAAAUCCGGUUCACUUUAACACUGAGGCGUGACGACGAGGCACUACGGUGCUGAAGCAACAAAUGCCCUGCUUCCAGGAAAAGCCUCUAAGCAUCAGGUAACAUCAAAUCGUACCCCAAACCGACACAGGUGGUCAGGUAGAGAAUACCAAGGCGCUUGAGAGAACUCGGGUGAAGGAACUAGGCAAAAUGGUGCCGUAACUUCGGGAGAAGGCACGCUGACACGUAGGUGAAGUGAUUUACUCAUGGAGCUGAAGUCAGUCGAAGAUACCAGCUGGCUGCAACUGUUUAUUAAAAACACAGCACUGUGCAAACACGAAAGUGGACGUAUACGGUGUGACGCCUGCCCGGUGCCGGAAGGUUAAUUGAUGGGGUCAGCGCAAGCGAAGCUCCUGAUCGAAGCCCCGGUAAACGGCGGCCGUAACUAUAACGGUCCUAAGGUAGCGAAAUUCCUUGUCGGGUAAGUUCCGACCUGCACGAAUGGCGUAAUGAUGGCCAGGCUGUCUCCACCCGAGACUCAGUGAAAUUGAACUCGCUGUGAAGAUGCAGUGUACCCGCGGCAAGACGGAAAGACCCCGUGAACCUUUACUAUAGCUUGACACUGAACAUUGAGCCUUGAUGUGUAGGAUAGGUGGGAGGCUUU